rnacentral:rRNA from 1 species
AUUGAACGCUGGCGGCAUGCCUUACACAUGCAAGUCGAACGGCAGCACGGGAGCUUGCUCCUGGUGGCGAGUGGCGAACGGGUGAGUAAUACAUCGGAACGUACCCAGGAGUGGGGGAUAACGUAGCGAAAGUUACGCUAAUACCGCAUAUUCUGUGAGCAGGAAAGCGGGGGAUCGCAAGACCUCGCGCUCUUGGAGCGGCCGAUGUCGGAUUAGCUAGUUGGUGAGGUAAAAGCUCACCAAGGCGACGAUCCGUAGCAGGUCUGAGAGGAUGAUCUGCCACACUGGGACUGAGACACGGCCCAGACUCCUACGGGAGGCAGCAGUGGGGAAUUUUGGACAAUGGGGGCAACCCUGAUCCAGCAUGCCGCGUGAGUGAAGAAGGCCUUCGGGUUGUAAAGCUCUUUCGGCGGGGAAGAAAUGGCAACGGCUAAUAUCCGUUGUUGAUGACGGUACCCGCAUAAGAAGCACCGGCUAACUACGUGCCAGCCGCCGCCGUAACAC